GUGUGCUGCAAUUGCUAAGCCCCUUGCUGAAGAAAGCUGCUUCCACAGCCACGGCGUUUUGCAAGGAGCUGGAAACCACGCAGCUCCAGGUACCUCAUCAGGCAGAUUCCCUCAUUCCCAGUUUCUGAGGAAGUCCAGGAGCAUAGGUGACUGUUCCUUCAGCUGGGAAGAAGAACCACAUAUAGUCAGUAGUGGCUCAUCAAACACCUGGGAUCACAGUGAUACGAGCUGACUGAUCAAAUAAAGAAGAACAACAGAGGUUUUCAUCCCUCUGCUUUCAUAAGGCACCAUUUCAGCCUGUACCUCGGACUUCUCCCUAUUUACAGCUGCAGAUAACACAUGGCUAACAAGAGCGGGGAAAAAGGCUUUCUCCUGAACAAGAGUUACUCCACAUAUUGGACUGUGGCACAUUCAGGAAGAAAAUGACAUUAUCUACUCACACUCCCUUGAAAUCCAGAGGACAGAAAUGAAUGGUUUCUCUCUAGCUGCUGAGUAGCAUCUUCACUGUAAUGUUGUCCACAGGGUAAAAGUCAUUUUGUCAUGAUAGUAGUAAAGUAUAAGCACUAGACUAAGUUCAGUAACACUCGUAUUGAGGGCGGUGAAAACAGGGAGAAAAAGACCUACAGCUUAUGAAACCCUGGAGAAAAAGCUAAGAGUUGUGUAAAAAGAUGCUAGAAUUAGUAAGGCUCUCUAUUUGCCCUUCAGCUGUCCUCUCUUUUCUAUUAAAGCUUUGGGGAAAAAAAUGACAACAGUUCAUCUAUUUUAUUAACAUCUUUUCUUCCCAGGAGAAUUAGAUGGGUGCAGACAGCAAGGAUAGAGAGGAUUAUUUUAGGCUAGUACCUAGGGUAUUAAUUAUAUACCUAGGGUAUAAUUAGGGUAUAGAUAAGAAUCCUGGGAUAAUUAUAGGAAAUGGAAAACCAAGGCUGAAUAUUUGAAAAAGUUCUUUCUGUCUGUACUGAGCUGUAGAGCUGCCCAAGAGAAAUGCUCAUUGUUUUGCAUAUGUAAAAAAGUGAUGAAGUAUAAAUUGGGAAAUAUAGCUUGUAAAUUUCUUAGCUUUCAAAACAUGCUGCUCAUGUUAAACUCCAGAUGAUCCACAUCUGUUGGUGUCCUCUCGUUUUCACUUGUGCCUUUCUGGUAUCAGAAAUAUAAGAAAAAGAGAUUGACUUUUAAGAGUUGUUCAUCCGCUUGAAACCCAGAAUCAUUUGCUUUUCCAUGUAUCCUUUCUGCUACUGUUUCUGUUUCAAUGACAAUUGCUCAGCUCUUUUCCCCUCAUAGUGUCCAACCUGUUGUUUAGGGAAAAUGCAAGCUCUGCUGGGCACUACAUUACAAGGAGCAGACUUUCUGUGGAAGGAAGAUGGUCAGAUGCAGGAACAAGUCUCUCCUAAGUCUAACCUUGGGGAUUAUCUGAAAAUGGUAAGAAAAAUUCAAGAGGAGGAGCAGGAGGAGGAACAUGAGGAGGAAAGGAAUGAAUCCCCCUACUGCUACUAUAGGAAAGCUGGUCGGGAUGAAGCUACCGUGCACUUGGCUGUGAAAGAGGCUGUAUUCUGACACACCGUGUAUCAUCUUGCUCAGCUGGCAGCAUGGACAUAAGCAGAAACCCUUCCAAACUGCAUUACGUACAGGGAGGGAGGACUUAUAGGUGCAAUAUCAUGGUAGCUUGGUUAUGUGCUUUAAUGCUUCUUUUUGCUGAGCUCCAAAUCCAGAGCCCAGCCUAUCAGUAAACUGCAGUCCACUGAUCUGUCUGAACAUCCCUGAGGUCUUCCCACACCCUCUGCAACUAUCCCUUAAAACUAUUGUAGGCUCUCAUCUGCCCCAGAGUGGGAACAAGGGUAUCCAGGUGAAGCAAAGACAAAAGAUGUGAAAUGUCCUUUUGAUGACCACGGGGAGUUGAUCUGUGCCACUAGUAUUGAACAAGACUGGGUUACUUGUGUACCUUUUCCUCUGGCGGUACCUGGUAGUGCAUGCCACUUGCUUAAUCUGAAUAUUUUGAGGGCAGAGAAAAGCAAAGAUUGAAAAUUGCAACUAGUAUUUUGAAUGGCAGAAGAGUGUGUCCCUGUUUUUCUUUUGUUCUUUGCAGGAAGAUAAUUGCUGUCAUCUUUCUGGGAGAAAGUGCCCUCGCAAUUGAAUCUCAGGAGUUUUAUAACAUGUCUUAAAAAUGGUUUGUUUAUUAUUUUGGGUUUUCCUGUUGUUCCUCCCCUCUCUCCACUGAUUUGCUUUAGAGAAACUAAGUAUACCAUACAUAAACAGCUAGAGCAAAAACUACUUGGUUUUUUUUACUCCAGAUUUUUACAUACGUUUUUAAUGACUUUCAAUCAGAGGCAAUCUGUAGUUGUAAUAAAGCAGUGGAUGCUUAUUAUUAUUGCUAUUACAUUAUUAUUAUUAUUAUACCGUACACUAUUAUUAUUAAAUUGUAAACUUGAACACUGCAGUGCAUUUUUACAAUUUUGUGAUAUUUGUGGGUAUUUGGGGGGUUCAUUUACAUAAA